AUUAUAAGGCACUAUCAUGAAAAACUGUGGAACUUUAAAUAAUUAAAUGGAAGUUAACAACUAAAUAUCUGAAAUCUACGUCUAUUACAAUCACUUAAGUCUUAAUUACCCAAAACCUGGUGUCACAGUGUUACAGACUAUCUAAGAUUACUACAUACAAGGUCUGAAGAAAUAACAGUACAUUGUUUCUGAAUAAAGGAAAAAUGAAACGAAAAAUAGAGAUAGAGGGAGACGCUAGGGCCUGCGGAUGCCUGCAGGUCUACUUAGGUCUCCGGGUGGGCUGAAGAAAGCACUCCGAUUACUGUCCGAAAGCUGCUCCGGGAUCUGUACACAGUGCAGAAUGUAGUAUCAGCACAAUCGACCCCAUGUACUGGUAAGUGUCUAGUCUAACCUCGGCGAAGUAGUGACGAGUCUAGGACCAGACUACCAAAUACACCUGUGCAAUUCAAAUAUAUACAACGGAAAAGAAAUACAGAAAUAACCAGUCAAUAUGGGAGGGGAAACAUGCUGUGGGGGAGAUAACAGUUCCGAAUAGAUAGGCAUCAAGUAAGGAAUGAAACAACAUAACUCGUAUAUCGACAAAGAAUCAGAAAUCAACAAUUGCACGGCAUCACCCUUCAUGCUUUUACUCUCGUCCUCACCAAAGCAAUUGUAUAAUAAAAGUGUGCACGACAUCACCCUUCGUGUUUUUACUCUCGUCCUCACCAAAACAGUCAUAUAAUAAAAAUGUGCACGGCAUCACCCUUUGUGCUUUUACUCUCUUUUAUCACCAUAUAAUCAAUAAAAUCGGCACGGAAUGGUACAUCGUGCGGCACGACAUCAGUCUUCGUGCUUUACACUCUUUCCUCACAAUAACAAACAAUGUACGACAUUAUCCUUUGUGCUUUAACACUCUUAUUCAUCCAAACAAUGAUCACAAACAAAGGGGCAAGGGAAUAAACAAGAUCAUAUAGGAAUCCCGACAAGGAAACAGCAAUUAAACAAUUACAUUCCGGCAAAGGAACACCAAUUAAACAAUUAAAUCCCUGGGAACAACAAUUAAACAAUUAAAUCCCCGCAAGGGAACAACAAUUAAACAAUUAAAUCCUGGCAAAGGAACAAUUUAAUAAUUCUUUCACUUGUAUUUCAUAACUCACUUUACCACUUGAGCCAAUGCUCCAAAGAGUUCAAUCGUCUCAUAUACUUUCACAAUUCGUAAUAUAGCUUAAGCCAAUGCUCCUCGAUGUUCAAAGGUCACCAUUCCUUCCACAAACUUUUCACAACAAAUAGAAAUCAUCACCAAGGCAUGAAAGAUACAACAAAAUCAAGAUAUUUACCAAAUAAAGACUCACAAUCAUGCUAGACACCAACGUAUAGAUACUCUUCACCAUGCCUAUACGUCGUGCUCAGCAUUACCACAUAGCAAAUAGGACUCAACUCCUCAUUCCUCAAGAUAAGGUUAGACCAAAAGAUACAGCAAAAUCAAGAUAUUCACCAUAUAAAGACUCACGGUCAUGCUAGAUACCAUACCAACGUAUAGGUACUCGUCACCAUGCCUAUACGUCGUACUCAACAAUUACCAUAUAGCAAAUAGGACUCAACUCCUAAUCCCUCAAGCUAAGGUUAGACCAAAUACUUAGUUCAAACUUCCACGGCCAACUCAAGCCUCAAACACCGCUUUUCCUUUCGAAUUCUGCUCUAAACCAAUUGCAUCUAUACAUAAUUGACUUUAUAACAUCAAUAAACGCUAAACAAUUCAAUUCCAAUGCCUAAUUAUAGCUUUCUAAUCAUUCUUCCCAAAAAUCCAAAAAUUGACCCGGGGCCCGCUUGGUCAAAACACGAGGUUCGGACUAAAACCCAAUCACCCAUUCACCCAUGAGCCCGAAUAUAUAAUUAGUUUUGAAAUCCGUCCCCAAAACAAGGUCUACAUCACAAUUAAUCAAAAAAGCCCUAACUCUACCCAAAUACCUAAUUUUCUACCCUUUAAUAACAUGAUUUAAGCCUAGAAAUCUAAUGGGUGUUAAUGGAAAUUGAAGAAAAUGAGUCUAAGAUCACAUAUCUAUGACUUGGUGGUGAAAUCCCCUUUCAAAAUCGCCCAAGUUGGAGUUAAGAUGGAGAAGUUAUGAAAUUUUGAAGAAUUCCCGUAAUGGCUACUGUUUUAAGUGCUGGGCGAACACUGUCUGGAUCGCGAAGGGCUGCCAGUAAGUGGACUUACGCGUUCGCGAGUCCUCCUACGCGUUCGCGAAGGGUUGACCCCCCUGACCAUCGCGUUUGCGGACCUACGUAUGCGUUCGCGUAGAAGAAUGACAACAUCCCCAGGCCACCUCCAAUUUACCAUAUGCGUUCGCGGGAAAGGGGUCGCGUUCGCGUAGAGCAACCCUCCAAAGCUCCACGUUCGCGUCCCCCUCUUCGCGUUCGCGUAGAACAAAUCAACCCCUGUCCCCAUUUACCUUACGCAAUCGCGAGUGUUACUAUGCGAUCGCGAUGUACAACAGAUCUGUGCACUUGCAAUAGAAAUUAUGCAACUUUUCUCAAGUCCAAAACUUUGCGAAACACAUCCGAAACACACCCUAGCCCUCGGGGAUCGAAGCAAACAUACGUACUAACUCAAUGACAUCAUACGAACUUAUCCAUGUGAUCAAAUCGCCAAAAUAACCUAAAUAACAAUGAAUUAAACCUCAAAAUCAAAGAACUUUUCUCAAACUUCUUAAAACAUCAAUUUUAGCAAUUUAGGUCCGAAUCACGUCAAAUGACAUCCGUUUUUCACCAAAUUUCACAGAAACGUCUUAAAGCAUAUAUAAGACCUGUAUCGGAUUCCUGAACCAAAAUAUGGGCCCGAUGCCAUCAUGUUCUAAGCAAAUUUCAUUUUAAAUUUCUUUAAACAAUUUCAGAAAAUAAUUUUCUUUAAAAAUUCAUUUCUCGGGCUUGGGACCUUGGAAUUCGAUUCUGGGCAUACGCCUAAGUCCCAUAUUUUCCUAUGGACCCUCAGGAUCCGUCAAAUCAUGGAUCCAGGUCCGUUUACCCAAAAUGUUGACCAAAGUCAAAUUAACUCAAUUUUAUAGCCAAAUUUUAUCAUUUUUCAUAGAUUUUCAUAUUUAAGCUUUACGGCUACGCACCUGGACUGCCCGCGCAAAUCAAGGUGGCUCUAUAUGAGGUUUUCAAGGCCUCGGAAACGUAGAAUUUAAUUUUAAAAUGAGUGACGACCUUUUGUUUUAUGCUAUUUGUGCUGGAGUUACUAAUGCUAUUUUGUUUUUGUUUUUGUUAGGGUCGAUUGGAAACAGCCUCUCUGCCCUUUCGGGUAGGGGUAAGGCCCGUCUACAUAUUACCCUCCCCAGACCCCACUUUGUGGGACUAUACUGGGUAGUUAUUGUUGUUGUUGUUGUUGAUGACCUUUUGGUCGUCACAUAACCACAAGUGUCCAAAUAUGUAAUUAGGUUCCAAAACCGAGUCCAAAUCGACUACCAAAUUCCCAAUUUUCAUUUUUGCAAACGUAGUCAAGAACCCCCAAUAUUCUCCUCCAACUCCCAUAAUGUAAGUGUAAUAAUCUAUAGGAAAACAAGAUAUAAUCAAAAUUAAGUAGAAAUCACUUGCCCUAAAACUUUGUGUGGAGAUUCUCUUAAAAAACCAGUCAUCUCCAAGUCUAGGGUUCAAAACAUGAGAUAAUGGGUCUAAGUGCCGAAAUUCCUCCAAUACAGUCAACUGUAGAAGUUGUAAAUGCGACCAGAUGGCUCGCAAAUGCGAAUUAGCUCCUUCAGCUUCAGUUAUCGCAAAUGUGACCAAGUGUUGUAAAUGCGAUACUCCCUUCAUAAAUGCCGAUGUCGCAAUUGCAAUACUUGUUUCGCAAAUACGAACUGGCCUUCUUAGGCAUCCAUCGUAAAUGCGAUCAAGACUUCGCAAUUGCGAUGUCUGCAACACUUGCAUACCUGAGCUUUCCCAAAACCAAUCCGAAAUCAACCCGAAACUCGUCCAAGCCCCUCGGGCCUCACACCAAACAUCCACACUAGUAUAUAAACCUCAUACGAACUCACUCAUGAGCUCAAAACAUCAAAAUAACAUCCAUAACCAGGAAUCAAGCACCAAAACACAUCAUGCAAGCCUUCGAGUUCAAGAACUUCAAAUUUCACAACCAAGCCUCCGAUUCAUAUCAAACCAUUUUGGAAUGAAACUAAACACAAGUUCCAAAUGACGAAAUAUACUUAUUCCAAGUCCCGGAAUAACAAUUCGAACCGAUAACCUCAAAUUUAACUCAAGAUCAAACUUGUGAAUUUUCUAGACCUUCAAAAUUGCCAACUUCGGCAAUUAGAACUAAAUCAUUCUAGGAACUUCCAAAUACAAUCUGGACAUGCGUCUAAGUCCAAAAUCGCCGUACGAACCUAUUGGAAGCAUCAAAAUAUCGAAUCCGAGGUCGUUUACACAAAAGUCAAACUUUGGUCAACUCUUAUAACUUAAACUUCCAAAAAGGGAACUAAGUGUUCCAAUUCACUCCGAAACCUUCCUGGAACCAAACCAACCAUCCCUGCAAGUCACAAAACAACAACUUGCGGGAAGCAUCAAAUGUGGAAACGAGUGGCUGGAUCGCUGCAAAUCGUUCCACUGGACAAGCAUCCAAAAAGUGCUUCGUACAUCACAACCUUAUGCACUGAAAUGAGAAAAUUGUUUUAUAUUUCUAGGAAUUACAUUCACUAUCCAAACAUAUUAUUGAUAGCAUUUGAUCAAGAUUUAUUGUUCGAUGAAUUAAUUUACAUUCUUGUCACUGUAGAAAUAAGCUUAAGUUACUCUAUAGACGGAAAACACUAACUUAUACAAUAACAACAACAAAUCCAGUUUAAUCUCAUAAGCGGGGUUUGGGAGGGUAGUGUGUACGCAGACCUUACCCCUACCCUAUAAAGGUAGAGAGACUGUUUUAGAUAGACCCUCGGCUCAAGUAACAGUGAAAAUAAAGUAACAAGCAAUAGCAACGGCAAUGUAAUAGGGUAAUGAAAGCGAAUGACACAACAAAUAAUAAAGAAACAGGAUAACCUAUAAUGAUAGAAAAUCUUGGCUUUUCCCGAAAGAAGUUUGACGUUGGUUGUCUAAGGAAGCUAGACUUCUAGAGAGGAGAAGAGCUCUCUUUUCACACUUUGUCCAUCUCUGUCUUCUGUAAAAUAGAUGCCUAUAAUCUUUUCUAUGAUAGUCGCUUAAGGCAUGUUAAAUACUGUUGCCAUUCUAAUUAGAGAUGCGUUGCCUGUAUUUCUAUUGAACAAAAAAGAGUUUAGCACCAUGAUUCAUGAUAUCUAGGCAUGUACUUAGAAUACAUAUUCUUAUUUCUAAGUUUAGUAGACAAGAUGUGGAGUCAGAGCUAUUUACUUGCAUCAGAUUGGAUAAUGUAAAAUUGCUCUUAGAGGUGUAAAAGUAGAUCUCAUAGUGUGUCAAUAUAUUCACAAAUUUUAAUGUUGAAAUACUAAAUGAUGGCAAAUAAUGAAACUUCCAUUCCAAAGAGGAUCAUUUGAAAUGACAAUAACAGCAUUCAGUAGUACUUAUGUUGGAAACGGGGCUAGUUUUUGAGAGACUCAUUGGGAGUUGCCUUGUUUUUAAGUUUCUUCUGUUUCCAUGUUGCUUGUUCUUUUGUGAAUAUGGAGAAAUUUUAUUUGACAAUUGUCUGUUACUGAACGCAGCUCAUUUAUUUGGGGAUAAUUGGAGCUAGUUACUACUUUAUUGUGCAGUCAGCCUUUAAGUACAUUCCUGGGUAUUACUUAGGUGAAGUGCACAGGUACUAUUGAAUCUUUGUGUUUUACGUUGCUCUGAUAUGCAUCAGUUUGUUUGUCACUUGACUAUCUUUGAGACUUUGACCAUUAUCCAAAAAAGAAAAGAUAAACCUUGACUAGUCCGGUGGAUAAUCGAGAUAUAUGUACUUAAAUUCCCAGAGAUUACAUAAAAUUGCAGGUACACGAGCUUGUUGGCAGUUGGAGGGGGUAUUCUACUCUUUCUAUUGACUAGCUUUUCUGACCCAGGAACUGUAAAUAUUGAGAAUGUUUCGCAGUAUCUAUCUGCUUAUCCCUAUGACAAUAUUAUAUUCUCAGAAAAGGAAUGUCCAACCUGCAAGAUUCCAAAGUGAGUGCGUUUCUUCUGUUUAAAGCUCUGAUGCUCUAGUUUACGGCUCUAGCUAAUUGAACAUUAUUUCCUCUCCUAGUACAGACCUGCUAGGUCAAAGCACUGCAGCAUUUGUGAUCGUUGUGUCGCUCGAUUUGAUCAUCAUUGUGGAUGGAUGGUUUGUUAUUUUCUCCCUUUUUCUUUUCCAUCUUUCAGAUAUAUACAAGUUAACUCUAUAUCAACACUAUGUUCACCGUGUAUGUUCUUAUGGUUUUCAUACUGUUUCUCAAUAUCACUGCAGAACAAUUGCAUAGGCGAGAGAAACACCAGAUACUUUAUGGCUUUUCUUCUCUGGUGAGCAAAUGAUACUGAUUGGUCUUUCUGUUUAAGGUCUGAUCGCAUAUACGAAUUGCUCGCACUACUUCCGUCUGCCGGGGCCUGGGACAGGCAGUGGGGUGUAUCAGGCGCAGUUACAAUUUUUUUUUUUAAAAAAACUUCCCAUUGUUUACUGGUCUUCUGUGUUAAUUUAACCUUGUAUCAACAUGGUAGUAAUAGAAAGAAGCUGGGAACGGGUAGAGUGAGUUGGGUUCAGAAAAAAACAUGAGAAAUAGUUUGAGAAAAUGCAAUACACAUUCAUAAAAUGAUUUCUGAAAUACGGGCAGGAGAUGUCAUUCUCAUAGGAAGUCAUCAUCUGGAGAAAUAAGGCUGUAGGAAAACAGGCUUCUGCAACUGCAGAUAUGUGGUCAUUCUGCAUUCUUUCAAAAUCUUAAAUGGUUUUUGCUGCAGUCAACUUCAGAUGUUACACCGUGCUUUUGAUUGUAGAAUAGCGGUUAGAUAAUUGAAGUGAGAUUUUUGAGUAUCUCUCUAUUUUUUGUUUUAAAAAAACCAUUUAGGUCAUUGUAAUGGUCUUUUCAUCAAGGCGUGAUAUGAAACAUCUUUUUUAUCCAUGGUACCAACCCUUCAAUGCACUGUGAUGAAUUUCCCUUUUUGAUAGGGGAUAUUUUCUGUUUACUCUCCCUUUCACAAUGGAAGUUUCUUGUUUAUUUUUGCAUAACCUUGGAAGGGGAUAGGGGAUACUCCCAUUUCCUCCUCCCCCACCGCCCACCCCCACAGCAAAUGAGACCCCAUCACUAGCAUAUAUUAUUGGCUAACCUUUGUGGAACUUGAUCACUUUUAUUGCUACUCCUCCUGGAGAAAUACUCAUGCCAUUGUUGCCAUCGUUUGAUCUUAUUACAUAUCAGGAUAAAACAGAAAACGUAAAUAGCUGUUUCUUCUACAGAAAAGCUUUUUAAGAAACUGAAAAACACACAGAGCAAAAGAGAGAGAUACAACAUUAGUGGAGAAAUGAUUCUUUAAACUUGGCUUCUUGAGAACAUUUACUAAAGCUAAUCUAGAUAAAAAUUUCAACAGCUUGUCCUAAUUCCUGAACUCAUCCGAUCUCUUUGUUCUUGUUUCAGAAAGUACUUUUUAGUCGUAAGUCAUUGUGAAAAGUUCUGCUAAAUAAGAACUUAUUAGAGAGAGUUCUUUUUUUUUGUAUGUUUAAUCUUGACACUGCCUUUACUCUUCACUUCACAUGCUCGUGAAAAUAUGUAUCUGAAUAACAUUAGAUUCAACUUCCAUUAUGAAGGAUUUUGUAUUUAACACUGUUGACCAAGUUGAUGAGACUUUUACCUUGACUAUCCUGUAAUUUUCAACACGUAUCUGCAGGCAUUUUCUUCUCUGUUUAUAUGGGACAGUUGCUAUUGGACUAGUGCUAGCUGGCCGACUGAAAGAACUGCGGGUUAUAGAUAUUCUUACCGGUGCAUAGACUACUUUAAAUUUUAAUGGUGCUCAAUUGCAUGUUAUAGUCAAAAUGAAAGUUGAAUUUCUCUGUUAUUGCAGUUUAUUAUGGCUUCGAGAACUCAUUUAGUAGUUUAGCUCCACAUGUUGUAGCGGUAAGUGGAUCACCUUUUUCUAUUCAGCAUCCCCCCCCCCCCCCCCCNNNNNNNNNNNNNNNNNNNNNNNNNNNNNNNNNNNNNNNNNNNNNNNNNNNNNNNNNNNNNNNNNNNNNNNNNNNNNNNNNNNNNNNCCCCCUUGAUGCUUGCAUGUAUUGUGUGUGCAUUGACGGAUAGUUCAGACCUAAUGAAAACUCUUACCAAAUACUAAUUCUGUUUCGAGAACUUUUAAGAAAGAGUUAACAUAAGUCCUUGAUAAAGGCAAUGCUAUCAAGCAUUCGUACCUGCUAUACGUCCUUAUCCUCCAUUCAUGCUUCACUUUUGCAAAAGCCUUGAGAAGAUGAUGAGGGAUUUCCUGUAUGACAAAAAUUGUGACUAUCAUUUUUUUAUAUGGAGAAAUUCUGGAGUCCUAUACAAAAUGGUCGUGUAUUCGGUGAUUGGGGAUAUUUAUUUAUACACUGUUGGGGAAGUGGCUAUGGUGAUAUGCUAAUG
rnacentral:lncRNA from 1 species